UACGUAGGGUGCGAGCGUUAAUCGGAAUUACUGGGCGUAAAGCGUGCGCAGGCGGCGCGUUAAGACAGAUGUGAAAUCCCCGGGCUUAACCUGGGAACUGCAUUUGUGACUGCAUGGCUGGAGUGCGGCAGAGGGGGAUGGAAUUCCGCGUGUAGCAGUGAAAUGCGUAGAUAUGCGGAGGAACACCGAUGGCGAAGGCAAUCCCCUGGGCCUGCACUGACGCUCAUGCACGAAAGCGUGGGGAGCGAACAGG
rnacentral:rRNA from 1 species